UACGGAGGGUGCAAGCGUUAUCCGGAUUCACUGGGUUUAAAGGGUGCGUAGGAGGGCAGGUAAGUCAGUGGUGAAAUCUCCAAGCUUAACUUGGAACUGCCGUUGAUACUAUCUGUCUUGAAUACCGUGGAGGUGAGCGGAAUAUGUCAUGUAGCGGUGAAAUGCUUAGAUAUGACAUAGAACACCAAUUGCGAAGGCAGCUCGCUACACGAAUAUUGACUCUGAGGCACGAAAGCGUGGGGAUCAAACAGGGA
rnacentral:rRNA from 1 species